UGUAGCUUCUCAUCCAACACCAAAUACUGAGGCUGUGGGAGAUGGUGAGGUUACAGGUGUGUCUGCAGGGAGGACUUUGCCAGCUCCUGGGAUGGUUACUCCACACAAGCCCAGCUCCCAGGAAAUGAAACGAGAGCCUGUGCAGCAGGAAACAAUUACUGAAGGAAUCAGUGACUCUGUGCCAGCCUCUGCUGCAGGAAGGG